GCGGCCAAACCCGGCCCCCCGGGCUCGCUGGUGGGCGGGGAGGGCCGGCCGGCCGCGCUCCGCUCCGGCACGGAGCGGGAGGACGGGCGAAACUUUGCUCCGCGGCCCCAGCGGAGGCGAUGGGCCCCGACGCGCUGCCGCUCGGCGCCUGCGGCGGGGCGGCCGCCGCCGCCGCCCUGCUCCUCUGGGCCGUCUGCGUGCUCUGCAGGAGGAAAAGGAAGACUGGAGAGCCCCCACUAAUAAAUGGCUGGAUUCCUUACCUAGGGAAGGCUUUGAUUUUUAGAAAAGAUGCUUACAAAUUCUUACUGGAUCAGCAAAAGAAACUUGGAGAUAUUUUCACUGUACAUAUUGCUGGCAGAUAUAUUACCUUUAUCAUGGACCCAUUUCAAUAUGUUUACGUCAUCCGAAAUAGCAAGCAACUUGAGUUCCAUGAAUUUGCUAAUAAGAUGGCUUCCAAAACUUUUGACUACCCAGCAUUGUCAAAAGCAAAAUUCCCCGAUCUCAAGGAAAACCUGCACAGAAUCUACCAGUAUCUACAAGGCAAGCCUUUGGACAUAAUUUCUGACCACAUGAUGAAAAAUCUCCAGGAUAUAUUUGAAUGGAAAUGCUCACAAGCAACAGAUUGGGAAACAGAAAAAAUGUACAAAUUCUGCUGCUCUGUAAUGUUUGAAGCCAGUUUUGUAACACUAUAUGGAAGAGUUCCUGCUGCAGAUGGCCACAAAGUUAUUAGUGAAAUCAGAGACAAAUUUAUCAAGUUUGAUGCCAGCUUUCCCUAUUUAGCUGCAAACAUACCAAUUGAGUUGCUAGGAGCUACCAAGAAGGUUCGAAAGGAGCUUAUACAUCAUUUUUUACUUCAGAACAUGACAAAAUGGCUGGGAGGGUCAAAAGUGGUCCAAGCCAGACAAGAUAUAUUUGAGAAAUAUGAGCUGCUUGGAGAUUAUGACAAAGCAGCACAUCAUUUUGCCUUCCUGUGGGCCUCUGUGGGAAACACGAUUCCAGCUACAUUCUGGGCCAUGUAUUAUCUGCUGCGGCACCCAGAAGCUCUUGCAGCGGUGCGUGACGAGAUUGACCAUUUGCUGCAGUCAACAGGUCAGAAGAGAGGGCCCACGUAUAACAUCCACCUCACCAGAGAACAAUUGGACAACCUGGUCUACCUGGAAAGCGCCUUAAACGAGAGUUUACGGAUGUGCUCGUCUUCCAUGAACAUUCGCAUCAGCCAGGAGGAUUUUGUCCUCAAGCUUGAAGGGGAUCAGGAAGUCAGUCUGAGGAAAGGAGACUGGAUAGCCCUUUACCCUCAGAUUUUGCACAUGGACCCCGAGGUCUAUGAAGAUCCUAAGGAGUAUAAGUUUGAUCGUUACAUAGAGAAUGGCAAGAAGAAAACCACAUUCUUCAAGGCAGGAAGAAAACUGAAGUAUUUCCUAAUGCCUUUUGGCUCUGGGAUCAGCAUGUGUCCAGGGAGGUUCCUGGCGAUGAAUGAGAUGAAGAUGUUUCUUUUCUUACUUUUAGCUCAUUUUGAUGUAGAACUAGUGGAAAGCAAAGCUGUCAGACUUGAUAACAGUCGUAUGGGCCUUGGUAUCCUUCUGCCAGACGUUGAUAUUGCCUUUCGUUACAAGCUAAGGUCCCUAAAAAAGUGAGCGGCUGCCUGUGUGUCUUCUACUAAUCUCAGUGUUUGCUCUGUUUCCUCACUCAACCUUGUAUUUUUGGGAAUGUUUGCUUUUACCCUCUCUGUUUUCACCUCCUCCUUAGUUUUUUUCUGAGGAGCAAAGCCCUUAGGCUAGAGGUAGAUGUCAGACAUGGGAACAAGCAACCCUGCCCAAGUUGUGAGUAGUGAGGUGAGGUGAGGUGACGAGCAUUUGUCUGGGUAAAUAGUCCCUAUGAGAAGGACCCCUAUACUCUUGGCCAUGAGUUUUGUAGGUUUUAGAGGGAGGAUGACAUGAAGAUGAAUCCAGGCCAUUAUUCAGGAAAUGGGCUCAACAGACAUACAUUGGGAAUUCCUCAGACUCCUUGGAAACCUGACAAUCCAGAUACACUGUGAGCAUGCUGUUAGAGCCAAAAGGCCUCCUACCAUAGCUGUGUCAUGAGGUUCCCCCUUGUUAGAUGGAGAGGUCCCACAAACCCACCAUCUGCAAGCAUCACUGCAUCUGCUUGUAGAAGAACAAUAGCAACAAAGGGGGAACUUAAUUCUAGAUGGUGAAAGGAUAUUUAGAGAUAAUUGUUCUAAUUUUUUAUUUACUCUGUUCCCUUUAUGAUCCUGAAACCCAAAAAAAGCACCUGACACUCUACUUUGUGCAAAAGACACAUUGCUCUGAAAACUUCAGCUUGACUUGUCUCUUGUCUUUUCCCAGUGGAGCAUCAGAGCCACUAGCUCAUUUUGGGAAUAUUGAGCUGCAAUCUACUGUUCCUCAAUCUUCCAUGUCUUCCAAAAUCAGAAAUUUGACUUGUCUCUUAAGCACUUGAUAGCCUAUGGAUGGAAACUGCUACAUACAUAAUAAGGUUUAGAAUUAUUUAUUGUUAUUUGUGUAGGAGACUGUUUAGUUAUUCAUAUAAAGCACAUACCUUAAAUAAGCAUUAGUAGAAAGUCUUUCAAAAAUUGGCACAGCCACAUUCCAAAUCCUCUGAGGAGAAAAUUGUGUUUUUGUGAGAUAUAUUGGAUUAACAUUUUCUCUUCAUAUAUAAUAUCAAUAGCAUCUACAGUGUUGGAGUACACUUAUAUUAACUGGGCUUUGCAGUUGAUUAAAUGCCUUAACUUUGCUUCAACAUUUAAUCAACAGCAAAAGCUGAUUAUUACUUUGUGCCACAGAAUAAAAUCUGUUUUUAUGGAGAGAUUCCUGUACUCAAGUUACUUACUGCUGUACUUACUCGGUAGGAGCUAUUCUGUACUCAGCCAUAGCUCAUAAUCCAGUUUGGACAUUAGAGCCUAUUUUAUUGAGAGAGGAAAUGCUGAUAUCAUUAUACUGUUGACUAUAUUACAUUAUUGCUUAAGUGUAAGCUGUAAAAUGUCUCAUGCAACAGUUAUGAUAAAUCUUUCCUUGGCAUCCAACUUUGAAACAAACCUGAAGCAACUGCGAAAAUAACAGUAGGUAUUUGUUUUAAACACGAGAUUUUUUUUAUAAUUGUCUUCUAUUUUUAGGAUUUUGAAUGAGAAUAUCACAGGCUGCUGCAUAAUUUAGUAGGACAUGAAAGGACUGUGCCAAAAGUACAUGCAAAUCAUUAGUAAUUUCAGAUUAAUUGUUGAUCAGUUUGUAUAGUAUCUGUUAUGAAAUUAAAAGAAGAUAAUUGUCUCCAAACUAGCAAAUUAAAACCAUAGGCCUUACUUCCUUCUUUAAAAAAAUAAAAAAGAGUCUUUCCCAGGAGCCGAAGGAAGGCUCCAUGAAGGCACUCAGAGGCUUUGCACGGGGGUUGGAGACCACACCUUGCACCACACAGGAGGCCUUGCAUUUUACUGGGUUAAGGUCAGUUGCUCUUUUAGCUCAGGAACCAGAAGGAUCAAACUUAAGACAAAGCAGGGCCUGCACAGCUUGUUCUAGAACUGUGUCCCUGGUAGACCCAUGCUCCCGGUAGAUGACUCUAAGGUAGGGCCUGCAUACAUUUGUGUACCCCAUCUGCAGUUGAGGUAAGCUUCACCCCCUCUUCAAAGUCAUGAGUGUUAGAGCAGGAAAGAGGAACGUUAGGCCUGGUUGGUCUUCUCCCAUAUACACUGCAAUUAAACAGGUGACUCUGAGAGUAAGCAGCUGGUCUGACCAGGAAUGACCUGGUCUCCACAAAGCAGGGAGCGAAAACCCAUGGUAUUCUUGGUCAGUAAGCCAGAGCAGUUAAAUGAGGUGAGCCUGCCACAUUUCUCGAAGCCCCAGCUGGAGCCAAGCUGGCCACAAUGUUCUGCCUGUGGUAGAGUGACAGCUUUGCACAUUUGCUUCAUGACAUAGGGAGCAAAAUGGUUUUUGAUCAUCACCUAGGAGCUCUUAGUGUUGGUCACUUGGGCACCAUAGUGCUGUUGGCAAGCAUUCAGUUGGGUGGGGUGGAGGGAGGUGGUGGGACUUUUUGCUGCCUUGUCCCUCCUUUCCAGUGCAAAAGGGGGCUGCCCAACGGGCCCAGCAGUGCCGGCUCACCUUCCCCAGCCGACCCCAUGGGCACAAGACCAGCUGGGAGGGCUACAGGGGGGCCUGGCUUCCCUCUGCUCUUCCUGGAGGGAAAUGGUGUGCCCAUUGCUCAGUUUUAAAAGUCAUACAGGUGGUCUGUACCAGCCUCGACUGUAAGCUGUCACUGCCUAUUGGCUAUACUUAUACUAUCUUCUGCUGUUAAGAAAAAAUAUUUUUUUUCUGAUAUAAAAUAGGUUUUCUAAGUCAACAUGGCCCUUUGAAGCAUGCAAGAAGAAAAGUGAAUUUAUUGUGAACUAAUAUGAAUACUAAAAUGUGAUUUUUUUUUACUAUUAUCAUUUUAAUUUAUGGUUUGUUCUCCAUUUUCAUGUUGCCACUGCAUACUGCUGUAACCUCUCAUAAACUUACUAAACUGCUAUAUUUCUCCAAAGACCACACUGCUGCAUGUGUACCUGUUUGCAAAUUUGACUUCCACGUCUCUGCAAUAUGUCCUAAUGUACUAAUAUGAGAGUUGUUCUUCAGUUUACGGUUUUAAGCCCAUCGCAUCUCACUGGUUUUGGCAUUGCUAUUUUUAUGAGUAAUUGCUGGUCUAUGAAUUUCACCUGUAGAAUUAUCAAUGAUCUUUUAUUUCAUCGUCAUUGAACUUUCUGACAUUCAAAAGGUUGUGAAUUGCUCUUAAUUGUGCAAACUGACAUUUUGUAUAUAGAUGAACAAUGGUUAAGUUCUACUUUAAUAGUUAAUAUCCAUCAUUAGAUCGAAUAAGGUAUAUUGUGAAUUUCUGAGCAAGAAAAUUGAAACUUUAUUAUUUUAGUAAUCUAACAUCUUAAGUGAAUUUUGUAUUUCAAGGAUACAAUAAAAAUGAAUAUAUCUAUUUUAAUACUGAA